rnacentral:rRNA from 1 species
UUGAAAGGGAAACGAUUGAAGUCAGUCGCGCUGGCGCAANCNCCCACCCGUUGGACACAUGCUGNGGGGGAGCCUCAAAACCGCUGCGAAUGUGAUCGCUUCGGGGNAGGUGGACUUUCGAGUCGGCUGGUUAACAUCAAUUUCGAACGUAUAAAAGGCUGGAGGGAUGUGGCUCCUUCGGGAGUGCUAUAACCUUUGGGGGAAUGCGGGGACGGGGGGGGGGGUUGCAACGAAUACCUUCGGGCUGUUCCACCUGGCCUCUCGUGGUAUCCUGGCGGCACAGCUUGCUGACGCGUUAGGGUCCGCUUCGAACAGGCUAGAGGGUGAGCAAAUUCGUUAAGGAUGUUGACGUA